CAUCACCCCAGACGGGUGAUGCCCCACAUCUCCAUCACCCCCAAUCUCCCCCCAACGGCUCCAUCACCCCAAACAGGUGAUGCCCCACAUCUCCAUCACCCCCAAUCUCCACCCAACGGCUCCAUCACCCCAGACAGGUAAUACCCCACAUCUCCAUCACCCCCAAUCUCCACCCAACGGCUCCAUCACCCCAAACAGGUAAUACCCCACAUCUCCAUUAUCCCAAGACGGGUGAUGCCCCACAUCUCCAUCAUCCCCAAUCUCCACCCAACGGCACCAUCACCCCAAACAGGUAAUACCCCACAUCUCCAUCACCCCCAAUCUCCACCCAACGGCUCCAUCACCCCAAACAGGUAAUACCCCACAUCUCCAUCACCCCAGCCAUGUGAUGCCCCACAUCUCCAUCACCCCCAAUCUCCACCCAACGGCUCCAUCACCCCAAACAGGUAAUACCCCACAUCUCCAUCACCCCCAAUCUCCACCCAACGGCUCCAUCACCCCCAAGACAGGUGAUACCCCCCCCCCUCCAUCACC